rnacentral:rRNA from 1 species
GUGGGGAAUAUUGGACAAUGGGCGAAAGCCUGAUCCAGCCAUGCCGCGUGUGUGAAGAAGGUCUUCGGAUUGUAAAGCACUUUAAGUUGGGAGGAAGGGUAGUAACCUAAUACGUUGCUACUUUGACGUUACCGACAGAAUAAGCACCGGCUAACUUCGUGCCAGCAGCCGCGGUAAUACGAAGGGUGCAAGCGUUAAUCGGAAUUACUGGGCGUAAAGCGCGCGUAGGUGGUUCAGUAAGUUGGAAGUGAAAUCCCCGGGCUCAACCUGGGAACUGCUUUCAAAACUGCUGAGCUAGAGUACGGUAGAGAGUGGUGGAAUUUCCUGUGUAGCGGUGAAAUGCGUAGAUAUAGGAAGGAACACCAGUGGCGAAGGCGACCACCUGGACUGAUACUGACACUGAGGUGCGAAAGCGUGGGGAGCAAACAGGAUUAGAUACCCUAGUAGUCC